rnacentral:rRNA from 1 species
GCCUGCCCAGUGACAAAGUUCAACGGCCACGGUAUCCUAACCGUGCGAAGGUAGCAUAAUCACUUGUUCUUUAAAUGGGGACUUGUAUCAACGGCAUCACGAGGGUUACACUGUCUCCUUUUUCUAAUCAGUGAAACUAAUCUUCCCGUGAAGAAGCGGGAAUAUCCCCAUAAGACGAGAAGACCCCAUGGAGCUUCAAACCCAAUUACACCCCUAACCCCUAUAACUACUUAACCCUUAGGAUUCUGUAUUAUUGGUUUUAGGUUGGGGCGACCACGGAGUACAACAAAACCUCCACAAUGAACGGAACUACUUCCUCAUCUGAGAGCUACACCUCUAAGAAUUAAAAUAUUAACAUAAAAUGAUCCAUUUUUGAUCAAUGAACCAAGUUACCCUGGGGAUAACAGCGCAAUCCAUUUCAAGAGCCCCUAUCGACAAAUGGGUUUACGACCUCGAUGUUGGAUCAGGGUAUCCUGGUGGUGCAGCAGCUACUAAAGGUUCGUUUGUUCAACGAUCAAAACCCUACGUGA